rnacentral:rRNA from 1 species
GACAAGUGUUUGCCGUAGGCGUGUGUAUGCCGUAGGUUCCGUGGUUGGUGCGUAAGUGUUGGGCGGAGUGGUGUCUGUGGCGGGUUGUCACGUCGGGAGGGAAAACGCAUGGCGCAACCCUGAUCGUGCUUCCGAUACGGGACUACUAGAGGUAGGCAUGGGAGAACGGAAUUCCUGGGGUAGCGGUGGAAGGCGCAGAUAUCAGGAGGAACACCGGUGGCGAAGGCGGUUCUCUGGGCAUUACCUGACGCUGAGGAGCGAAAGCAUGGGGAGCGAACAGGAUUAGAUACCCGUGUAGUC